CUGAACAAUAUAGACACCUUCAAUUAGUUACUCUUCAAUUUCACUGUUAAGCUUUUAUAUAGUGGGAUCGGCUAUAUAAAUCAUAUGUACGAUCCAUUCUACUUUAUUAAGGCGAAUUCGGAAUACCUUAGACUAGGCAUUCUCUACAUCUCACACUUAUAUGUAGGUACAAAUCUAAUGGUGCACGAGUAAUUUAUAUAGGAGUGAGUCGUGACAAGUUUACUUACCAUUCUUGGUGCUCCGUCAAUUUCAGCAACUUCCAUCCCUGUGACAAUCAUUCCAGGUACAACCUCUCUUGUAAGUCUAACAAUAGCAUCCUCAGCGGCGUUCAUGUCCAAAGCUUUCAUCCCAGGAACAUGAUUGAUCAUGCCAAUGCUCUUAAGCCUCUUAACACCAGUGGCACCCAUGGGACCGUCGUGGCCACAAGAGCUGACCACAAUCUUAGCCUCCAUAACAUUGGGGUCCAUGCAGGAUUGUGUGUCGUGGUUCUGAGAAACCAAAGACCAGUUAGUGACAACACCACCAACUCUUCCGUUCUUCACAAUAAGGUCCUCUGUUGCAACAGCAUUGAAGAGUUUCACGUUUGGCCUAGAUUGUGUGUCAUGGUUCUGAGAAACCAAAGACCAGUUCGUGACAACACCACCAACUCUUCCGUUCUUCACAAUAAGGUCCUCUGUUGCAACAGCAUUGAAGAGUUUCACGUUUGGCCUGGCCAAAAGCUUGCUCAUGAUGGUUGAGGUGAACAAGGCAGCGUGCUUGAUGACCACGUAGUUGUCUUGCUCGUCAUAGUCUAUGCCUAGCUCGUUCAAGAAAAGAUGUGCUGGCUUCCUCACAACCAUGGCUGAAAAGAGUUGUCCUCCUAGCCAGGCACCUCCACCAGGGCUAACUGAUUGCUCCUUGAUGACCACGUAGUUAUCUUGCUCGUCAUAGUCUAUGCCUAGCUCGUUCAAGAAGAGAUGUGCUGGCUUCCUCACAACCAUGGCUGAGAAGAGUUGUCCACCUAGCCAGGCACCUCCACCAGGGCUCACUGAUUGCUCAAGUAUGGCCACCUACACAAACCAAGUAAAUUCACAUAAACAACUGAUAAUAAGUACAAAUUGGGAACAUAGGUAUUGUAAUCAGCAACUAUAAUCUAAUCAAGAACAAGAUUAGCAGUUAGAACAUCAAUUGACUUCCCUGUGAUCAUGAAUGCGUAUACCAGCCAGAGGCAGAUCUAGGAUAAUUUAGGUUUGUUCAAUUAAAUUCAUUGCUAUAUAUAUAUAUACACACAAACGAUAACGGGGGAGUCUCAAGCUAAAACCUGGCAGCUUUUGCUCAACCAGUUUUGAUGCUUAAAAUACUACAAAUAUUAAAUUUAGAAAUCAAUCCCUAACAUUUGAAGUCAUGUACUAAGAUCCAGAAUGCAUAAGUUUGAAAUUCUGGUUCCGACUGCAAACCAAUUUUGGACUUAUUAACUCCAAAUCCUAAAUUCAGGAUAAUACUAUCUCAAAAGCAGUUUCACUGGUUCACAAGUGUAUUAACAGCUUUCGCUAAUAAAUAUGUCAUAUUUCUCUUGAUCACACUCGCUCAAGUUGCACAAGGUCUAAGCAAAAAGGUGUCACAUGAUUUGUAUAUACGAGUAAACCUUCAAGUACCUUUAAUAAGAAGCCCGUGUUUUUUUUCCCUCUCAGCUGCCAAGUCUUAUAUGAAUUUUCUUUUAUACUUUUCAGUUCAGUAGAAAUACAAGCGAAGUCAAAAAACCAAAUUCCAAAAUUUCCAUCUUUCCGCUAUUAGAAUUUAAAUGAAAAUAUCCGUUAGGCACACGUAAACAGGUGCCAAUUCUUCCACGCGAAAAAAGCCUGAGUAUUUAAAUGAAAAACUAAUCAAAAAACUGAAUUGAGGCUAAAUGGUUAUGUGAGUCUUUACAAACUUAUUUUUAGAUUUAUGAUCAUAUCUCUUUUGUUUUUUUCUUUAAGAAAAGAAACAGGAGAUUUAUUUUUACAGAUCUAUUUUCAGAUAUAAGAGAUAUGACACUAUAUUAAUUUCAUAUUGUAAAUGGUUAUUGAGUUAUGACGCAUAAAAGGUCCAAAAAGAUAUUUUCUUAAUUUUAAAAUUAUAAAAAAGCAUGAUGUACAGGUAGCCUCAUUUCCUUCGCUGAUUUGAGCCAUAUGCACUCUGUUAGUCUUUAGACUCACAUAACCAUUUAAACUCAUAAAGUAUUUUAAAAUUAAUUGACAAAGUAAACACAAGCCAAUAUAUGGUCUUUCGUGACUUUUGUCUUUUUCUAUCACAAUACUUCCAGACACAUAUAUUACAUCCUGCAGCAGGCCUAGAUUUAUCUCAUGUUAAUAUCAACUUAAAUUUCGGUAUUAAUGUGCAAAAAAGAAAAAAGAAAGAGCCAAAAUGAAAAUAAAAGGAUACC
rnacentral:lncRNA from 1 species